rnacentral:sRNA from 1 species
UGACUCUUUAUCUUUGUAUCUUCUAACAAGGAAACACUACUGAGGCCUUUAGGAUAAGGUUGAGGUUUAAGUUCUUAUACUCAAUCAAACACAUGACAUACAGUCAUAUUCGACUCCAAAACAAUAACCAAGCCUCUUCUUGCUUCUAAAAGCUUUGAUGGUUUAGCCAAAGUCCAUAUGAGUCUUUGUCUUUGUAUCUUCUAACAAGGAAACAUUACUUACGCUUUUAGGAUAAUGUUGCGGUUUAAGUUCUUAUACUCAAUCAUACACAUGACAUCAAGUCAUAUUCGACUCCAAAACACUAACCAAGCUUCUUCUUGCUUCUCAAAGCUUUGAUGGUUUAGCCGAAGUCCGUAUGAGUCUUUGUCUUUGUAUCUUCUAACAAGGAAACACUACUUAGGCUUUUAGGAUAAGAUUGCAGUUUAAGUUCUUUUACUCAAUCAUACACAUGACAUCAAGUUAUAUUCGACUCCAAAACACUAACCAAGCUUCUUCUUGCUUCUCAAAGCUUUGAUGGUUUGCCAAAACUCCAUAU